rnacentral:rRNA from 1 species
AUUGAACGCUGGCGGCAGGCCUAACACAUGAAAGGCGAGCGAGCGGCGGACGGGUGAGUAAUGUAUGGGGAUGUGCCAGAUAGGGGGGGAUAACUACUGGACACGGGGGCUAAUACCGCAAAAUAGCGGAUACACACAUAUGGGAUUAGCUAGUAGGUGGGGUAAAGGCUCACCUAGGCGACGAUCUCUAGCUGGUCUGAGAGGAUGAUCAGCCACACUGGGACUGAGACACGGCCCAGACUCCUACGUGAGGCAGCAGUGGGGAAUAUUGCACAAUGGGCGCAAGCCUGAUGCAGCCAUGCCGCGUGUAUGAAGAAGGCCUUAGGGUUGUAAAGUACUUUCAGCGGGGAGGCGUUACCCGCAGAAGAAGCACCGGCUAACUCCGUGCCAGCAGCCGCGGUAAUAC